UAUUUAUCUAUAUAUUAUUGCAUACUUAUCCAGGAAAAAUAAAUUAGCAGGAGAUUUUAAAAGUACCUGACGCAUGCCUUCAAAUUUCAAAUAUACAAUAUGACACAUGCUUGUUUCUGAACUUAGUGUUAUUCAUGUCAGUAUUGUGCAAAUGGAGAUGUGUGGCAUCUUUCAGAUGGAGCUUAUGAAACAACUACUCUUCUCAAGGAUGCUGGAAGUUUCACGAAUCAAAUAUAUCUUUUUCCUCCUUAACCAUUGUUUUCUUUUAAGUUUGUCCCUCCUAUCAUAGUAACAUGAUAAACACUGGCACAGUUAAGAUGACUGUUGUAUCCAACUUUGAUUCCCGCUUAAGGAAACUAUUGAAGGAUCUUAAUGUUUUGAAUCUGUGGUGUUGGAUUAGCUUCACAAUCACAAGUGCAACAAUUCAAAGAAGCAAUUGGUUCAACUAAGUAGGAAGGGUUUCCAUCCCCUGCCAUAGUCACAAGAAUCUUGGACUCAUUAUUAUCAAUAACCACAUUACUAGGCAUUGUGCUUUAACAGGAAGAAGAGAUUGGCUGAGACGAAGGAAGCAGCUAAAGUUGAGGUUUGGAUCAGUGGUUCCAAUUUCAGGAUCUGAUUUUGUUCGAGAGGUUUCACAGGCUCCCUCUGAUGUUUGGGUGGUUGUCAUCCUUUACAAAGAUGGGUAUGCUAGAUGACAUUUCUAAGUUCAAAUUUCAGGAAAUGUUUCUGAACACCACACGUCCUCAUAUAAUAUCUAUAAAUUACUUGGUGCAUUGAAGAAUUUGUCACAAGAUAUCCUGUAACAAAAUAAACUUGUUAAGAUAAUAUCAACUGAUUGCAUUCCCAACUAUCCGGAUCAAAAUCUGCCCACCGUAUUGGUAUACAACAAAGGAGCAGUCAAGGAAAAUUGUGUUGGCUUGUGUAGUUUUGGACAAAGAUGCACUCUUGAAGGAAUUUAAUUGAUUUUAUCUUAUGAUGCCUUUUGUAAAACUUGUUAGUUUAAACUUUAAAAAUAUUUAAAUUUCAGAAACGUGAUAUUGAAUGCAUAUUUAUUUUCUUUCUUCUCUCUUUUCUAAUUGGAACUCAUAUGUAUUAUUGUAUUUUUGUUGUAAUUCUUUAUUUUUCAUAGCAUUUUAGUUGUCACA